AACAGGAAGAAGCUUGCUUCUUUGCUGACGAGUGGCGGACGGGUGAGUAAUGUCUGGGAAACUGCCUGAUGGAGGGGGAUAACUACUGGAAACGGUAGCUAAUACCGCAUAACGUCGCAAGACCAAAGAGGGGGACCUUCGGGCCUCUUGCCAUCGGAUGUGCCCAGAUGGGAUUAGCUAGUAGGUGGGGUAACGGCUCACCUAGGCGACGAUCCCUAGCUGGUCUGAGAGGAUGACCAGCCACACUGGAACUGAGACACGGUCCAGACUCCUACGGGAGGCAGCAGUGGGGAAUAUUGCACAAUGGGCGCAAGCCUGAUGCAGCCAUGCCGCGUGUAUGAAGAAGGCCCUUCGGGUUGUAAAGUACUU
rnacentral:rRNA from 1 species